GCCUUGAAUGGUUGGUGUGACUUGCUUUGACCUUUGCUGCUGGGUGCCUUGGCGGAGUGCUUGCGAGCUAUUGAGUCUCAUCAUGAAUGCAGUGACUUAUGAGGACGUGCAUGUGAACUUCACUCGAGAGGAGUGGGCUCUGCUGGAUCCUUCUCAGAAGAAGCUCUACAAAGAUGUGAUGCUGGAGACCUACAGGAACCUCAACGCUAUAGGAUUUAAUUGGGACGAGAAACAUAUUCAAGAACAUUGUCCAAGUUCUAGAAGACACAGAAGGACUUCUCAACUAUGAAGCAAAUUGAUGGAUGAACAGGAAUAUAGGUGUGGAAUAGAAUGUACACAUGAUGUACCCUGUUCCUUGAUUGAAGAGGAAGACAUGCUCUGGGAGACUGCAAGAAUUUCUUCAUAACUACAAAGUUUCCAAACUCAGUCCAUGUCUACCCCUAUUGUGGCUGUGCAGAGCUCAAUGGGCCUGUGCUGUCUGAAUCCUUUCAUCUCUCAUCAUCCAGUAGCUGUGCUGCUAUUGUCCUGAGACCCAGCUGGGUGACCCUAGAUAGUGAUGGACUCUGGGCAGAGCUAUCAAUCAAUAGCAACAGUAGGAGGAACCUUGUGGGAUCCUUCUAGGAUUCUCCAUUGAUGUAGCACUAGUGAGCUGUGGGGUAGACAACAAGCAAUUCUCUACUGAGUGUGGCAGCCACUGUUCAGAACAGUAGGACAAGAGGAGCAGCUUUUAAAGGAACUGCAAGCACAUAAUGGAGUUGGCCUAAAAGUGAGACUAUGUGUGCUUCAGAGACAGAGGUGGAAGACUAGGGAUGCCUAAGUAUAUUGUAGUCAGGCCAUUUCAUUAUCUGAAGAAGCUGAAAAAUAAGCUUCAUGAUAUUAUAUUUUUCUGCUGGAUUUGGCAUUGCUUUGGUCUGUUCCAUCGUCGAUAUGCUUUGAUUCUCUGUGGAAUAAUAUUGUUUAUUCUUAGCAUUGUAUGUUGGAAACAUAACACUCUCAUUGAUGGUCCUGGAAGAGUGUGGUUGGGUAAGAGACAGAAUUCACUCUCUAGGCAUUGAAGCAAGAUGUGGCGUUUAAAUGGGAAUGUUGCCCUUUGCUCCUAUGUUGCAUACUUAUUUUCCAGUACCUGGAAGUCUUUCAGAGGAGUAGGGGAAAAGUAUAGGAUAAUCAUUGUGGAGAAUUUGGGUGACAGCUACCUCUAUAUCUAAGGUGGGAGAGGUUUACCACCACAAAAAGCAAAAAGCUCACUUGCAGCUUUUGGAUUCAAGGUAGGUACUUUAUCUACUUCAUAGAGAAGAGGUCCUAUCUUAUUUUCAUCCUAAUCUGUCAUUUGUGCUCCCCAAGUCCUAUUGCUUAUUAAAGAGGGGAACUCUUAAGUAGGAGAAUUAGCCCCAGGCAACGAGUUCCCUGUUUGGCUAAUCAAUGCAAGUCAGUCAGUCCUUGAAUCAUACACAUAACCAAUAAAAAUGCAGUCAGCAAGUUUUAUUUAUGUAUUUGAGUCUUCAUAGUCACACAUGUAUGUAACAAGGGUGAAAUUGGCAGGGAAGAAUUUAGGAUGGAGAGGGGAGAAGUAAGGGGAUAAAUUGUUGAAGGAUAUUUGAAUAUGGUUAAUAGAAAACCUAAUUGGUAUUGAAAUAUCCAAGCUUGGGAAGAUACUGCCUUUUCAGAUGCACCUAGGUGUGUCUUGGAAAGGUGUAUUUUGGGUGUGCCUCUGACAGCCAAAGCCUCAAUACAAGAGAAUGCUAAGGGUUGGAAAGUGCCUGCCCAUUUUGAGGCAAGUUACUUGGGAGGGGUCUUGAGGUCUUUGCUGGGUGACUUGGGGCAAAGUCAGCUUGGAUGGCAUUGAUAUGCUCUUCUGUAAAGGUGAGAAGUUUCAGCUCCCUACAGACUUGACCCGGGUCCUCGCACCACUACCUCCCCCUUGAGCUGACCUGCUGCAGCCUGCCAAGGAUGUAGUAAGGGGGAUAGAGCCUGGUUUUGUAGCAAUAAGACAUUUGAGCUUUCUCUUGGUGGGCAUUCUCUUUGGACUCUGUCUCUAUCUCUUGACUUAGAAUAGCAUUGUGGAAGCAGAGUGGUAAGAAAUAGCAGGACAUAGAUGAGGCAGGAUUUGAAGAAAGAGAGCAAAGGAGCCCUCCUGGGUUUCAGUGAGCUCAAGAGAAAGGUAGACUAUGUAAAAAUGGGCAUAGACAAAGAGAUUUCUGAGCAUCUAGCAGUUUAAUUGUACAUUCAAGCUUGUAAAUAAAUAUAUUGCAUAUAGUUAAGGAAAUGAAGUUAGCUCACUAGGCUAGCAUGUUUUAACCAAGCCUUCUACCUCAUUUGACAUUAUUGGGAAUAUAUAUUAUAAAAUGUAGGCAGGGCGGGGCGGGAGGCUAGGUAGGGUGACAACAGGGGCGUCCGGUCUUCUCUGUCUCUAGAAAGCAGGCAACCGGAGGGAAGAUGGUUUACAUCUUGAAUGGUCAGGUGUUGGACAGCAUUAAUCAGUCCCUAUGGAGAGUGUCUUUCCUAACAGACUUCUGGGGAAUAGCAGAAUUUGUCGUUUUCUGUUUCAAAACUCUGCUUCGGCAAGAUGUAAAGAAAAGAAGAGGCUACGGGAGCUCCUCUGAUUCCAGAUACGAUGAUAGAAGAGGGCCACCAGGAAACCCUCCACGAAGAAUGGGUAGGAUCAAUCACCUUCGUGGACCCAGCCCUCCUCCAAUGGCUGGUGGAUGAGGAAGGUAAAUGUCUGCUCUGAGAAGCAGACAACUAGACAUACACACGUGUAGAAGGAAGCCAUCAAGCAGUGAAGAGCGGCUCAUGCAGGAGUAGAUGGUGUAUGUCCAAACAAGGAUUGCUCUGUGUCCUCACAGAUGAAUGAGGCCAUGCUGGAAAUUCCCUCUGCAGGAUCUGGCCUGACUGAUACACAGUUCUAUAAAUGUACAUGUUUGUCUACUUAUCUCUUUUUUGUAUAGUUUACGAUAGUAUUAAUAUAGUUUUAAGAAGUAAAUAUUUCCAGGUUGCAAAACUUGAUUGUUCAUCUUUAUAUGAUCAUACCCAAAAUCUUUGAUCUGGAAGAAAUAAAGGCCAUGUAUUUAGUCCUGGAAAAAAAAGUGUAAAAAGGUAAAGGUUACAUGAAGUGGUGUAUUAUGAUCUAAUUUAAAUGCAUAAAAAUUAACUUUACAAGAAAAAAUAUAAUAAAUACAGAUAUAGUUAUGAGCAA
rnacentral:lncRNA from 1 species